UUAUAGCAACCAAUAAUGCUAGAUAAUAUUUUUUUGUAUUUCACCGAAAUUUCCAAUAUAGUAGAGGGGUUUCAGUCGGUAGGUCCGAGGACACCCUCCUCGGGAAUCCGACACCCAGUCGUACGGAUGGCUGGGUGUCUUUUGAAGAUUUCCCCUCUUC
rfam:Agrilus planipennis Contig57894, whole genome shotgun sequence.